UCCGCGACACAUUGUACCGAAUCGCGUAUUUACCAAGAGAGUGAGAGUGUAAACAGAAUCUUCAAUUAGGAUGCUGUGCACGAGAGGCACAGUCUGGACUUGGUUAUUUAUUUAUACGGAAAAAAUUCCGGUUUAUCAGAGUGACGUCACAGAUAAUUAACAUUUCUUGUUAUUUAAUAGUGACACUGGACGGAAUGGUUAUUUGCUUAUAUUUGGAUAGGAAAAGCGUCAUUUGGGUGAGUCAUUUGAAUCGUUUAUGAUAUCUUAGCUAGGGUUGCAGUCAAGUGUUACUUUGGAGCAAAGAACACUUGGGAUUAGAUAAAAAACUUGCUCCUAACCGAUGUGAGGGAUUUCAACCAGAGAGAACAUGAUACUCGCCCGCAAGUGAUCAUUGGCUUGUGAAGAUUUAAUUGGAAUCCAAUACUAAAUUUCUUUGCCGUGUCAAUUAGCACCCAACUCGAAGCAGUCGAAAUACAUGCUUAGCUGAUUCUGCAACCUUGGAAAACCCGAUUCACACACGUAUCACACUUGAAGUGGUCAUUUCUGCAUGGGAGUCUCUGGGCAGUGGCAUAGCGAGAGGUAGGCCAACUCGUAAUGCGGAAUGCCGUUCAAUAAAUUGAUCAUUAUGAAAUCAUGUACGAGUGGUCGCAGAAAUGCAGACACCAAUGCCUAAGGGACCAUAAAUGAACCGCAUUUAUCGAGUAUAAUAAAAAUGUAAGCAAAAUCUCUUUUAAUUAUUAAAUUACGACAAUAAUAA